AGACGGACAUUUGGCAUCGCCUAUUCGGUGAUGGAUGUCCUCACGCUUUGCAUGACAACUUUCAGUGUCACACAAAACCCCAUAGGAAAGCAUUAUACAUGCUUUUCUUUGGGGAAAUACUAAUGCUAGCACGGGCAUUGCCACACAUUCAUAUUAGGUCUCCCCUGUCUGCUGACGUCGGUGGGUAGGAGCAAAGGUGGAGCC